GUUUUGAGAUGGUUUUAAAAAAAAAAGGAGACUUUUACUACAAAUAUGUUGUAAAAAGUCUAUAUUACUAUUUAAUUAAAAAACCCUAAAAAUUAACUUGGUGUAAUUUUCUCAUUUUCCUUCUCCCUCACGUUCUCUUCUUGUGUGGCUUUCUCCUUCUCAGCUCUUCUAUUAGGGCAAAGUGCAGUUCGACUUCAACUCUUCUCCUUUCUCAGUUGUCGUCGCGUUUCCUUCACCAUCGCCAACCGUUCAGGCCUCCAUGGUGGUUAGUUCGUAUGCGGCAUGCAAGAUUCUCCGUUGGAGAUGCGUCGAGAUUGGCGGCCUAUUUUCCUCCCUUUGAGCCUCUCAAGUUCACCAUUGCUCACUGUAUCUUCGGCGCUAGCAACAUCAUCAAAUUGCUUCUGUAUGCUCAAAUAAUGUACUGAGUUUCUUACUUCUCAGUCUCCAUCGAAGGUUCGUUAGCGAGCAGUAACUUAACAUGAUUCUUGGGGCGAUUGGUGGCUACAAAAGAGUCGUGGUGGGUCAUUACAAUGGUCACAAUACCAAUAUACCAAUAGACAACCUGUUAGAUUUGAUAUACACUAUUAGGAUGUUUUGUUUGUGGUCACGUUUUGUUUAUAUGAGGAAACUGUAUUAAUUUCAUUUUGUGCAUAUGUUCAUUUGUGUACCAAGUUUUAGUUUGCUGAAUAUUUAUAUGUUAGUUGUAUAAAAUAAGUUGGAAACUAUUAAUUAUAUCUAGUUGUGAUAAUGCAAAUUUCAAGUUAAAGGUUUUUUUU